GCGGCGUGAGAAGCUAUGAGCAGCAAAGUCUCUCGCGACACCCUGUACGAGGCGGUGCGGGAAGUCCUGCAUGGGAACCAGCGCAAGCGCCGCAAGUGAGUGCCGACCCUGGGGCACGGCGCGGGUGGCGAGGGCCGGCGGGUGCUUAAUCCCCCUCCUCUCUCGAAGGUUCCUGGAGACGGUGGAGUUGCAGAUCAGCUUGAAGAACUAUGACCCCCAGAAGGACAAGCGCUUCUCGGGCACCGUCAGGCUUAAGUCCACUCCCCGCCCUAAGUUCUCUGUGUGUGUCCUGGGGGACCAGCAGCACUGUGACGAGGCUAAGGCCGUGGAUAUCCCCCACAUGGACAUCGAGGCGCUGAAAAAACUCAACAAGAAUAAAAAACUGGUCAAGAAGCUGGCCAAGAAGUAUGAUGCGUUUUUGGCCUCAGAGUCUCUGAUCAAGCAGAUUCCACGAAUCCUCGGCCCAGGUCUAAAUAAGGCAGGAAAGUUCCCUUCCCUGCUCACACACAACGAAAACAUGGUGGCCAAAGUGGAUGAGGUGAAGUCCACAAUCAAGUUCCAAAUGAAGAAGGUGUUAUGUCUGGCUGUAGCUGUUGGUCACGUGAAGAUGACAGACGAUGAGCUUGUGUAUA
rnacentral:sRNA from 1 species